rnacentral:rRNA from 1 species
GAUGAACGCUGGCGGUAUGCCUAACACAUGCAAGUCGUACGAGAGUUUUUAAUUCUAGUGGCGGACGGGUGAGUAACACGUGAGAAUUUACCUUUAGGAGGGGGAUAACAAUUGGAAACGAAUGCUAAUACCCCAUAUGCUUUUGAGUGAAAUGGAUUUAUAAUUAUCCGCCUAAAGAAAAGCUCGCGGCUGAUUAGCUUGUUGGUAAGGUAAGAGCUUACCAAGGCGACGAUCAGUAUCUGGUUUGAGAGGACGAUCAGACACACUGGAACUGAGACACGGUCCAGACUCCUACGGGAGGCAGCAGUGGGGAAUUUUCCGCAAUGGGCGAAAGCCUGACGGAGCAAUACCGCGUGAGGGAAGACUGCCUAUGGGUUGUAAACCUCUUUUUCUAGGGAGGAAUAAAAUGACGUGUACCUGAAGAAUAAGCAUCGGCUAACUCCGUG